UACGUAGGGACCAAGCGUUGUUCGGAUUUACUGGGCGUAAAGGGCGCGUAGGCGGCAAUUCAAGUCAUCUGUGAAAUCUCCGGGCUUAACCCGGAACGGUCAGGUGAUACUGUUUUGCUAGAGUGCGGAAGGGGCAAUCGGAAUUCUCGGUGUAGCGGUGAAAUGCGUAGAUAUCGAGAGGAACACCUGAGGUGAAGACGGGUUGCUGGGCCGACACUGACGCUGACAGCGCGAAAGCCAGGGGAGCAAACGGG
rnacentral:rRNA from 1 species